CUGGGAAGUGUGUAUGGAGUGGGAAGACAAGACCUCAGACAGCACCUACAGGAAGUCCACAUAUACAAGAGCCAUGCAGGCAGGGAAGCAGGGGAAGGAGACAGAGAAAGUGCCAAGAUGGCGCUGAAUUUCAUGCUCUACUACGUUCCCCCCAUGCCCAGGGCUCCCCUGAUUUGCUCCUCAGCCCACCGAAACCCAUCACCCUCCAGAGGGUUCUAUACGAGGAGGAGGGUCUCGAGGACGUGCAUGGGAAGAAGAAUGUGCCGGCCAGGCCCACGGGACAAGGACAUCUGUCUGACUGCUUCACUCAUUUCUGCACACGACCUCACGGAGGCCUCAAUUGGAUCAGGCAAUUAGUAUAGUCAGGAUCAAAUGCGGCCCAAUUUAAUUCAAUUACUCUUCGCCGCAGCAGAAAAUGUGGUUAUUAUAGUGAUGGGACCUGUGUGAGGAAUACAGGCUCCUGGCCAGCGACCAGCCUGGGUGCUGCUGAGCGGUGAGGACCUGCGAAGGCACAGAUGAGGAUGAUCGGAGGGGAUGGGGCAGAACCGUGCCCUGCCCCAGAGCAUCAGAUGGGGGGCUGAGGUCUGGCCACAAUCACCCAGCAGCACCUGUCGGACGGAACCCCAUGGAUAAUGGGGGCAUUGCUCUCCCCUUGGCUUGGAAUCAAGACACGGAAAAGCCAGGUUUAACUCUUCCCUGAGAACUAUGAAUUAUUUACGGGAUCCCGAGGACAAAAGGAUGAAGUCUGGGUGACAGCAGCCAGAAGAGAGGGAGUUAUUUUCCAAAAUUACCAUUUUUUUAAAUAAUUUUUUAUUUUUUAUAAACAUAUAUUUUUAUCCCCAGGGGUACAGCAAUGUCCACAAUAGCCAAACUAUGGAAAGAAUCCAAAAUUACCAUUUUAAGGGACAUUUCUUAUUUAUCCUUCUUAAGUCUUUAUGACAAAUUUGACAACGA
rnacentral:lncRNA from 1 species